GCCCAACAUGGCUGGAGCGCGGCGGAGGUGAGCCGGCCGCCCGCAGACGCCCCAGCCUACUGUGC
ensembl:miRNA